UGUAAAUCGAACAAAGCCUAA
rnacentral:piRNA from 1 species